GCAGUCUGUACUUCUGUAGCGAGCCCGGCAUGCAUUGCGUGUCGUGGGCGUUGUCACGGCAACCCGCAGCAAUGCUUUACAGCCGCAGCUCGCGAGAGUGUCGGAGAGGGAGAUCAGUAUAUCCUGGGCCCUGCUUGGAAGUCAGCAGGGCCCACAGGGGCAUAUAUGUAUAGCGGUACUAGCUAUGUAUAGAUGCACAUUGGAGGGUGG